GCUGGCGGCACGCCUUAUACAUGCAAGUCGAACGAAGUAGCAAUACUUAGUGGCAGACGGGUGAGUAACAUGUAGGUAUCUUCCCUUUGGUGAGGAAUAACACGAGGAAACUUGUGCUAAUACCUCAUAAGUCUUUACGGAGAAAGCUUUAUGCGCCGAAGGAUGAGCCUGCACUUGAUUAGUUUGUUGGUAGGGUAAUGGCCUACCAAGACUGUGAUCUAUAGCUGAUCUGAGAGGAUGAUCAGCCACAUUGGGACUGAGACACGGCCCAAACUCCUACGGGAGGCAGCAGUAGGGAAUAUUGCACAAUGGAGGAAACUCUGAUGCAGCGAUGCCGCGUGAGUGAAGAAGGCCUUUGGGUUGUAAAGCUCUUUCGUCGGGGAAGAAAAUGACUGUACCCGAAUAAGAAGGUCCGGCUAACUUCGUGCCAGCAGCCGCGGUAAUACGAAGGGACCUAGCGUAGUUCGGAAUUACUGGGCUUAAAGAGUUCGUAGGUGGUUAAAAAAGUUGGUGGUGAAAUCCCAGAGCUUAACUCUGGAACUGCCAUCAAAACUUUUUAGCUAGAGUAUGAUAGAGGAAAGCAGAAUUUCUAGUGUAGAGGUGAAAUUCGUAGAUAUUAGAAAGAAUACCAAUUGCGAAGGCAGCUUUCUGGAUCAUUACUGACGCUGAGGAACGAAAGCAUGGGUAGCGAAGAGGAUUAGAUACCCUCGUAGUCCAUGCCGUAAACGAUGUGUGUUAGACGUUGGAAAUUUAUUUUCAGUGUCGCAGCGAAAGCAUUAAACACACCGCCUGGGGAGUAC
rnacentral:rRNA from 1 species